rnacentral:rRNA from 1 species
UACGAAGGGGGCUAGCGUUGCUCGGAAUCACUGGGCGUAAAGCGCACGUAGGCGGCUUCUUAAGUCAGGGGUGAAAUCCUGGAGCUCAACUCCAGAACUGCCUUUGAUACUGAGGAUCUUGAGUUCGGGAGAGGUGAGUGGAACUGCGAGUGUAGAGGUGAAAUUCGUAGAUAUUCGCAAGAACACCAGUGGCGAAGGCGGCUCACUGGCCCGGUACUGACGCUGAGGUGCGAAAGCGUGGGGAGCAAACAGG